UUAAAAAUGCCAACAGGUUUUACAAGAUAAGAAGAAUUCUGGAGAUGGAUGGUGAUGAUGGUUGCACAACAAUGUGACUGUACUUAAGUCCACAGAACUGUACACUUAAAAAUGGCUAAAGUGUUGCCUCAUUUGGGGCCAACUGAGAAGCAUGGAUACUUUAGCAGACGCUCCUAUGCAACUAUCUUCUAACAACUCCAGAACAUUCUACACCAGCGAUGGAGGAAACCUUAAAAGAAAUAAGAUUUCUGGCACAGUCGAUAGAAAACUACUUUUCAACAAAAUACCAAAAUUAAAGGUACAGACUCAAAGGUGAUCGCGAAUAAAUUAGUUCCGGUUUCUGAUUCUAAAGGACUUUCAGUAAGUUUCUAUUCCAAGGAGGUUUUCUCAAGAACACUUUUCAUCGGGAGCCAUGUUAAUUUCUCCCAGCUCUUCCUUAGUGCUAUCAACUAAACCAAGAGCUAAACCUUUACAUUCACUGACAAG